GGUUAAGCGACUAAGCGUACACGGUGGAUGCCCUGGCAGUCAGAGGCGAUGAAGGGCGUGCUAAUCUGCGAUAAGCGCCGGUAAGGUGAUAUGAACCGUUAUAACCGGCGAUACCCGAAUGGGGAAACCCAGUGUGAUUCGUCACACUAUCAUUAACUGAAUCCAUAGGUUAAUGAGGCGAACCGGGGGAACUGAAACAUCUAAGUA
rnacentral:rRNA from 1 species